rnacentral:tRNA from 1 species
GGGGCGGUAGCUCAGCAGGUUAGAGCAGUGGACUCAUAAUCCAUCGGCCACGGGUUCGAGUCCCGUCCGCCCCACCC